GUACAAUACAUCACCGGCGGACGGGUGCGUAACGCGUGGGAAUGUACCUAUUGGUUCGGAACAACUGAGGGAAACUUCAGCUAAUACCGAAUGUGCCCUUACGGGGAAAGAUCUAUCGCCAAUGGAUCAGCCCGCGUCCGAUUAGCUAGUUGGUGGGGUAACGGCUCACCAAGGCUCCGAUCGGUAGCUGUUCUGAGAGGAAGAUCAGCCACACUGGGACUGAGACACGGCCCAGACUCCUACGGGAGGCAGCAGUUGGGAAUCUUGGACGAUGGGGGAAACCCUGAUCCAGCCAUGCCGCGUGAGUGAUGAAGGCCUUCGGGUUGUAAAACUCUUUCGCGCACGACGAUAAUGACGGUAGUGCGAGAAGAAGCUCCGGCUAACUUCGUGCCAGCAGCCGCGGUAAUACGAAGGGGGCUAGCGUUGUUCGGAAUUACUGGGCGUAAAGCGCGCGCAGGCGGCUAUCCAAGCCAGUGGUGAAAGCCCGGAGCUUAACUCCGGAACUGCCAUUGAAACUGUUUA
rnacentral:rRNA from 1 species